rnacentral:tmRNA from 1 species
AACCUUUACAAAUUAAUCAAAUUAAGCGAUAAUAGUAAGUGCUAAUAUAUAGCUAUAGUAAUAAACGUAAUUUAGAAUAGAGGUUGCGGACUCGGGGGCAGUACCCGACGCCUCCACCAAUACUCAUACUCGAUGAAUUUCAAAAAUUGGCUACGUUGUCCUACAAGUACUCCGGUACUCACGUAUUAAGUAACUGCUUCCGUUCCUCGUCUUGUGGACGCCUUGCUCUUUUUGAAAUUGAUCUUCGUAUAACAAUAUGAUGCAAAUACUGCUUGUAUUUUAAAAAUUGAAUUUUAUUUUGAUGGGUGAGUGAGCGGAGCGUAUACUUAAUACGUGAGCAUCACGAAUCCCUGAUAAAAUGAAAUUCAAUUUUUAAAAAAUAAGUAGUAUUUUGAGGGGGCGAAAUAGGAUCGACGUGCCUAAUAAAAAAAUUGCUUUUACUCGGGAUGAUUCCGCCGCAGGCUUUUGCCUUACGGGUCAAAACAAAGAAACGCAAACGAUAACAAUCGUUAUGCAGGUACUCCAGCUUUAGCUGUAGCAUAAACCUGUGCGGUUUGGGGGUUUACCGGGCAACAGAAAAACCCUCAA